rnacentral:rRNA from 1 species
GAUCCUGGCUCAGGAUGAACGCUAGCUACAGGCUUAACACAUGCAAGUCGAGGGGCAGCAUGGUCUUAGCUUGCUAAGGCCGAUGGCGACCGGCGCACGGGUGAGUAACGCGUAUCCAACCUGCCUUACACUCUUGGACAGCCUUCUGAAAGGGGAGAUUAAUAACAAGAUUGUUAUCAUGAGUAAGCUAUUUUCGCAUGUAAGUUUAAACGGGUUUACCGGUAGUAAGAGUGGGGAUGUCGUU